GUUUUCUCCAGGUUCUCCAGUUUCCUCCCACAGUCCAAACACAUGCAGACAUGCAGACAUUCAUAAAGGCAUACAUCACAAUGGCUUCUGCUGUUUCGUGUCAAACAGGCUGUGGAGAGGAGACAAAGACAGUGACAAACUUUAUUCUAGGAAGAGCAGGUGCAGAGGAUUUCUCAGUUUUCUGUUACGUCUGAAACUUUGUAGGAGAUCCGCUUCCAUCUGAACAUCUCGGUCUUCUGCAUUUCUCACAGCGCGACGUGAACAACAACAACCACAGUGAUGUAGAUCCAGAGAGAUGCAGGAUAAUUGGAGGCUCGUUAAAUGAUCUGCGGCUCCACGUAACCAUUUGGGACAGAAACCAGUGCAGAUUUCUGUCGUGCAUUUUGUGUAUUUUAUUUAGACUACUUGUUUUUCCGGGGCGUGGCCUGUUACUGUAGAGAUCCAUGUGGAAGUUGGCCAGGAAGAUCAGAUUGUGAUCAGAUAUACUUACAAAUGGGAUUUGGCCUUAGAUCUGCCCCAGUUUGCCUCUCUGCCCCUCCCCUCUGUGUCCUGAUUGUUUGAAUGAUGGUCUCUUUCAUCCAGACCUGCCUGCUCUGCUCUCUGGACCCUGUCUCUCUGGACACAUGCACUUCCUUAUUGGAUCUCCUCCGUCCCUUGGAUCUUCCGUUUAGGACCUAACCUGCCCAGUCCUUCAACUGCUCCCUUUAGUGAAAUAAAAACAAAGUUUGUCCGUUCUGAA